CGCGCAGGCCAAUGGCGACGAUCGCUGUCACCACGACACGGACGGAGCCGGAGAAGAGACGAUCAACACCAAGGACAGUGAAAAUGAUGGCACUUUGGCAAGAUCAAGCAACCUCUCAACUAACUUGUCCCGGAGCAGGUAGGAGUAUAUAGUCUGGGAGCUCUAUUCUGGGGCCUCUUGCCAAUCAGUACUAGUAGCAGAGAACAAGCAGGAAGGUGUGUCAAAAUGUCAUUCGACCCAACUUGCUGUAUUUCUUUGGAAUACUUUCGUAUCAUAAGGGGAGGAAAUAUUGUUAGAGUUGUGUCGAAUAUUGAUGUACGAGUUGGGUUACAUAUGAACUUUGUGUUGUAGUGUGGGUAGGAUACAUGUAGUGUCGUAGUCGGACACGUCGUACCCUUGGCCUCUUAUAUAUGAGGAGGCACCCCA
rnacentral:lncRNA from 1 species